rnacentral:rRNA from 1 species
GACGAACGCUGGCGGCGUGCUUAACACAUGCAAGUCGAACGGUAAGGCACUUCGGGGUACACGAGUGGCGAACGGGUGAGUAACACGUGGGUGAUCUGCCCUGCACUUCGGGAUAAGCCUGGGAAACUGGGUCUAAUACCGGAUAGGACCACUGCCUGCAUGGGUGGUGGUGGAAAGCUUUUGCGGUGUGGGAUGGGCCCGCGGCCUAUCAGCUUGUUGGUGUGGUGAUGGCCUACCAAGGGGACGACGGGUAGCCGGCCUGAGAGGGUGACCGGCCAUACUGGGACUGAGGUACGGCCCGGACUCCUACGGAAGGCAGCAGUAGGGAAUAUUGCACAAUGGGAGCAUGCCUGAUGCAGGGACGCCGCGUGAGGGAUGACGGCCUUCGGGUUGUAAACCUCUUUCAGCACCGACGAAGCGAAAGUGACGGUAGGUGCAGAAGAAGGACCGGCCAACUACGUGCCAGCAGCCGCAGUAA